rnacentral:lncRNA from 1 species
GCCCUGUGCAUUGCCCAAUUUAUCAACAUGAUACAUGAAGUCUGUCUGGAAGAUAAACAAGAGGACAUAUUGCGGUGACAUACGAACUCUUUUCAAGUUGUGCAUCCUAGGAAAUAGAUUACAUGAUGCAGUGUGCCUUUUCCAGCUCAUGUUUCUAAGCUGAACUGUGAUGUUCUUCCUGAGGACAAGCUGCAUUUUAUCCCACAGCCACAGGGUCCAGAUUUCUCCCUUUUCACUUCCUUUACAUCUAUCCAAUGCUGAAGCUCCUGAACAAGUGGCGCCAGAUCUGUGCCUCUGCAGUGCAGAGAAGAACCAGCCCCACAGAAGCAUAUUCAUUAAAUAAAACUGGGAUGUUCCAGUGGGCAAUGUCUGUUCGCAAAUAAUGGGAAAAUGUUUCAUGUUCCACCCAGGAAGGUGUAAGAGCAUUUCAGAGUAGCUUAAGUCUGCAUUCUUCAACAGCAUACAGCAGUUAUCAGUUAAUGAGAUGACUUGUACCCUUGUCCACACUUGCAUCACUAUGGCUUCUUAAAUGAGCUGAUGUGCUGCAGCUGAGGAUUAAACCAUCUCUUUCAAUAUUGCAUGCACUGCAGCACAAGUCACUCACUCCAGCAACCACAGAGGUGAUUGCAGACCUGGGAAAGUCAAGAUGAGCAGAAACCCUUGUGCAUUAAAGCCUGCAUUUAAUGUCCUGCCUGUCCUAUCAUCACUGCUGUUUCUUCUCCACCUAUUGUUGGGAAAUGUCUUGACAAGACCUGUGAAGUCACCUGAAAAUGGUGGCCAGGACUUCAAGAUUCCUCCAUCACUGAAGUUAUCCUGCCAUGGAAACACAUGGGGCCCUGCCCCACCCCUGGGAAAAAAAAAAAAAAAAAAUGAAAAUAGAAUGAAAUGUGUUUACUUUCCCUUAAUGUCAUGCAUAAUGUCAUGCAUUGUUUGCAAUGGAUCAUUCAUCAUCACAGCUCACCCCUAUGAAUGAUUCAUGAGGGGACAGCUGUUCCCAGGACCAGCUCCUGAGUUGCACAUACCAUGGGAGAAGCUCAGCACCUGAGAAGAACUGGGGCUUCUUCAACUCCAAAAGCUUCAUAUUUUUUUUCAAAUGAAGGCAGGGCUGUAAUGCACCCUAAAAUACAUUCAGCAGGGAAGGAGUGGGCAAAUAGAUUGCAUGGAAAAUUAAAAUGUGUUUCAAGGUAUACAGCAAGACAGGGUUUAAGGAGACAUAGCAUUAUUUUGAUCAGCUGUAAACAUUAGGAUUCAAUAUUCUAUGUGGGAUUCUUCUGGCUGUCCACAAAAUGCAUGCAUAUAACACACAAAAUGUCAUAAAAAUGUUGAUGUGUUUUGUAGGUAUUAUUUGUCUCCUGUUUCUCAAGAAACACUCUAAAUUUAACUGUGGGCACUACAAAGGACAAAGUAUAGCCAGUUUGUGUAUCCAUUUCUGAUUUCCUUCUGAGUCUUAUCUAGUCUUUGUAUAAUAAAAUACAUGUCUCACAUAACCA